UUUAAAGUCGAAAGUAUAGAUAACACUGAUGGUUGUGGUCUGAAAAAUCAGAAAACAAGAUUUCUAAUCAUUUCUGAAGAUGUUAUGUAGAAUAUCCUUCCUUCCAGAGUUACCUUAAUCAGCUUCUGAAGUUAUAGAAACCAGUGGUAGUUCAAAUGUUGUUAAUGGAAUGAUCUUUUAUCAAAAACUGUAUCUUCCUUUGGUUCCUUCAAGGGAGAAAAUAAGACCCAGAAACUGAGUAAUUAUAUAGAAUGAACACUCUUCAGAAAUACCGUCUGUAUUUGAGAGAAUUUGAUGAUCUAGCCCAGUAGUUCUCAAACCCAUUUGGGCAUCAGAAUCACCAGAGGUGCUUUAAAAAAAUAAGGGUAACUGGGCCUCACCCCCUCGCUUCCCCCCCCACACACACACCCAUGUCACUGAAUCAAUAUGAGGGGAGUAGGGGGUGGGAGUAGAGGGCUGAUAAUUUAGAUUUGUAGACACUCCCUCCUAGUAAUUAUGACACAGCACUUAGUAAUCAUUGAUCUAGCCAAUAGCCAUUAUGUAAAUGACAUAUAGUAAGUAUUGACACAUAUCUACUAUCUUCUCAGUUUGCCUUAAACUAGGCAGUCUGAGUUGAAGUUAGUCUGAUUUUUCUUUCUUUUCCUUUGUUUUUGCUGAGAAGGAUUCACCCUGAGCUAACGUCUGUUGCCAGUCUUUCUGUAAUUUGUAUGUGGGCCAUCGCCACAGCAUGGCCUGAUGAGUGGUGUAAGCCCACACCCAGGAACCAAACCCCGGCCACCAAAGCAGAGCGCACCAAACUUAACCACUAGGCCAUAGGGGCUGGCUCUUCUUCUCUUUUUUAACUUCUUUCAGUGAGUGUGCUUGUAUAUUUUGAGCAUGGGAUAGCCUCUACCUAGGAAGGUCUUUUUAAACUGAGUGCUUAGUCUCAGGGUGUGUGCACACAAGUGGUAAGGGAAGCUAAGGCAGAAUUAACUCAAGCAGUCAGUGCAACGUCAGGGGGAUGCCAGUGUCACUAAGUCACCCUUGAAUCUAGUAAGACUGACGUUUCCUCGACUGACCCAGGAGGUGCCUAGCUACUCUUGUGCCAGCUAGGUCUACUGUAUGUUUAAUGCUUUCUGAAUAUGCAGAUGUAGCAUACUACUUUUUAUAUAUGUGUGUCUAUAUAUAUUUUUAAAUAUAUAUGGCUAACUAUAAUGUUACUAAGGUAAUUUUACAAAUAUCAGCAAAUGCCUAGUGAAGGCUUCCGUCUGUCAAUCUUGAUGACUGAAAUGCAGAAAGACAUAAAGUAGAUAUCUUACAGUUUGUCUUCAUCAUACUUCUCAAUUCAACCUGCCUGUCCCUAGGGUUGAAACUGGCUAGUACUGUUGUCUUCAUUAUGUUUAGAAGUUGUAGAGAUUCGAAGUAGAUAAUAUCUCAACUGCAAACUUGGGCUUUUCUUAAUUGAUGUUAGAGAACACCUCUGAAAGAAUACUAUCCCUUUGUCCAUUGAACCUAAAUCUCAUGAGAGGAAUGUCAUAACCAAGAAAAUCUCCCUCAGUCCACAGGAGUCUGGGACUUCCUAGAUCCAGGGGAGUUUGGGGUUUUGCCUGCACAUUUGAGCAACUCCAGAACAAACCACAAGUCUGAGAUGUCUCAGAUGUGGGUGGUUCCUCAGGUCUGGUUGUAUGUGAUCUUAUUUACAGCAUGGGUACUUUGAGACUCCAGUAAAAACUAUGGACCUGCUCCCCAGAAAAAUGUGUAUGCAUAUAUACACAUCCACACAAAUUAGGGGGUUCAGGGAUGUUCCCCAAGCCUGUCUGUGGACUCCACAUCAAUAUUCACUCAAGUCUGUCCUGACUAGGAUUUUUUUAGGGAAACAUGCUGGAAAGCAAGGAUUCACUUUUUUCUAUGGAUUCUCAAAGACUUUUAUAAAUAAUAGUUGAAAACUAUCAUAUUCCACACUUUUAACCACUAUUCUCACACUUGUGACACAUUUGACUGAUCUGAGUAUAAUUUUCUUUGAGAUAAUAUAUAAAUGUUGAGUAUGCUUUUUGUAAGUACUUUCAAUUUGGUGUCACUUAGUACUAUAAAUUGCUUCCCUGUUCUCAGCCCUUUUCUCUCCAGAAAUAUCCUGCUCUGCUUUCCCAGAAGAUGGGUUACCCGUGAGAUGUAGGAAUAUGGACUUGGAUAAAACCAAUUCUUUCCCAGCGUGAAGGGACACUGUCAAGUAACUGCAAAUCCGCAGGUGUCUCAUAGUGGAGCGUUGACCUAGAAGUGCCUGAGACAGUGGGAGCAUCAGUUAGGAUAAUGAACAAAUGUAUUUAAAUCCAUAGCUUCGUAAUGAUUCUGUAAAAAAAAAAAACAAAAACCUUUUAAUCCCCUUUGGAGUAUCUCAGGAAACCAACUUACUACUUUGAAAACUGAUAAAUAAAGGAAAAGAAUCAAGCAUUCAUUCCACCCUUUCCUUUACAAACUAUACCUCAGGGUAACCAAAUAGCUGAAGAAGGGAAGAUUUUCUUUAUAGCAGUAGCCCAGCUAAUCAAUGAAGAAGGAACGAUAGAGUAUCACCAUUUUGUAGGCCCUCAUGAAUUGAUGCAUCUAGAUGUCAAUCGUUAAUAAAGACCUCCGACACAACGUGCCUUGUGAUGGAAGUGCAUCCCACAACCUAAGGUGUCUCACCAAGAAAAUCAGCCUGAAUUGGAUCUGCAGGAAACCGUAAGACAAAUGGCAUAGUUUCUUCAACAAAAUAAAAUUGAGAAAAAGAGAAAGAUGGAGGAAUCUAUAAGACAUAUCAAACAACCACAAUAUAUGGACUUAUUUGGAUCCUAAAUCAAAGAAACUUUUUAAAUAAGACAAUCCAAACUAUCCAGUAUUGACCGAAUAUUUGAAGUCCAGUAGUUAUUAUGUUUUCGUGUUUGACGGUGGUACUAUGAUUACAGUCCCUUUAGAGACACAUACUGAAAUAUUUAUGGAUAAAAAUGUAUGAUGUCUGGGAUUUCCUUCAAAAUUAUGGGCAGGAGCAUGGUUGGGAAUAAAAAUGAAACGAGUCCUAAAUUGAGAAUUGCUGAGGAUGAAUGGGAGAUAGAAUUCAUUAUACUCCUUGCAUGUCUUUUUUUAUAUGUUUGAAAUUUUCCACUGAAAAGAGCAAAAGUUAAAAAGAAAAAGAACUUAGGGAAUUCCAGGUAUCUGGUAAGUUUCCAACUUCUCAACCUCUUAACCCCCUCUGAACCCUCCGCCUUCACUUUUCAAAAUAAAGGC
rnacentral:lncRNA from 1 species